rnacentral:rRNA from 1 species
AGCGAACGCUGGCGGCAGGCCUAACACAUGCAAGUCGAACGAACCUUUCGGGGUUAGUGGCGGACGGGUGAGUCACACGUGGGAACGUGCCUUUAGGUUCGGAAUAACUCAGGGAAACUUGUGCUAAUACCGAAUGUGCCCUUCGGGGGAAAGAUUAAUCGCCUUUAGAGCGGCCCGCGUCUGAUUAGCUAGUUGGUUGAGGUAAUGGCUCACCAAGGCGACGAUCAGUAGCUGGUCUGAGAGGAUGAUCAGCCACAUUGGGACUGAGACACGGCCCAAACUCCUACGGGAGGCAGCAGUGGGGAAUCUUGCGAAAUGGGCGAAAGCAUGACGCAGCCAUGCCGCGUGAAUGAUGAAGGUCUUAGGAUUGUAAAAUUCUUUCAACGGGGACGAUAAUGACGGUACCCGGAGAAGAAGCCCCGGCUAACUUCGUG